ACACCACGAGAGUUUACAACACCCGAAGUCGGUGAGGUAACCGCAAGGGGCCAGCCGCCGAAGGUGGGGUAGAUGAUUGGGGUGAAGUCGUAACAAGGUAGCCGUAUCGGAAGGUGCGGCUGGAUCACCUCCUUU
rnacentral:rRNA from 1 species